rnacentral:lncRNA from 1 species
UUUUUUUUCGUGUCUCCUCCCACCCCCCUCCCACCCUGAUCCAUCGGUUUAUUUCUCUCUCCACUCUUUAUUACAAGCAAAACUUUCCUAACGAAUAACAAAUCACGGAUCUAACUUUCUUAAAUUAUGCAAAUCAAUCGAUUCCAUUUAUUGGUUCAAUUUGUCUUAGGAAACAAAUAACAGAUUUUCAAGAAAAAAUUAUAUAUUUUAAUCUAACUUUCCUAACUUAUCUAAAUCAAUCUAUUUCUCUCAUUAGUGAAAUUUGUUUUAGAAAACAAAUAACAGACACGUCACAAACUUUCCUCCCAAUAAAUAGUUUCUUAACAUUUGCAAACUUUCCUAAUCAGACACGUCACAAACGGGCAGGUACUGAUAUCACGUUACCAAACAAUAAAACCCCAUUUGCAUAGAAAUCGGUUCAAAAUUCUAACUUUCCUAAAAUUUUACCUUUCCUUGAUAACAACCAAUAUUUCUUAUGUUUUCCACCUAUAGAAGGAAAUCACCCCUCCAUCGAUAUUAGCAUUUUUUUGGAAUGAGAUCUUCAGGUUAUGAUUUUUUUUUGCGAUUAUUUUCGAUGGUGACCUCUCCUUCCGCUCCGGCUCCUUCUCGCAUAAACACCUCCACCACAGCCAGCUGACGCCACCCCAGACCUCCUGCCUCUCCACACCUUCUCCACCACCUCCUCCUUGUACUCCAUUGACAAUCCCUCUGCCAUGUUUGUCCACGGCGGUGUUGAGGACAUGGCGCAGCAGCGUACUAGCGGUAGAGCAUCGCAUAGCAGUAGGAAGCAACACGCAGCAGGCGAGGCAAGCGACCUGCGUGGCUGAGAGGGCGGCCGGCAGAAGAUGGCCGUGACAGGAGGGGGCGUGAGGCAGGGGCGUGACUACGGGGCGAGCGAAGGGAUAGGCGGCAGCAGACGGGGUGAGCGCAGCUAGCGAGAGUGUGGUGCGUGGCCAGGGUGUGCGUCGCGCGGGUCACAGUGGUGCGGUGGCUGCGGCGAGCGCGACGACAGUGGCGGGCGCGAUCGACGCGGUGUGGCACAGGCGUCCAUAUAUACUUUAAGGGUGUUGAGGUCAUUAUAGGAGUAUUUAGAUUGAUCAAGUUUCUAUCUGCUCUUUCUUCCUGUAUGGAUUUUUCAAAAUUGUCGAUGAGUAUUUAAAUGAUGAAGUUUCUAUUUGGUAUCACUUCCUGUGAGGAUAUCCCAAAAUUACCAGAUCCAAUAUUAUUUUAGCAUGGCCUUUGGUAGUUCAUGUGCAUGUAUUUUAGUCUCAUAUUUUCUUCAAAUUUAUACUGAAAUGAUGUUUCAAUCAAGGUGAGGGAGUCCUGGAUUAGGGGGUGUCCGGAUGGCCGGACUAUACCUUCAGCCGGACUCCUGUACUAUGAAGAUACAAGAUUGAAGACUUCGUCCCGUGUCCGGAAGGGACUUUCCUUGGCGUGGAAGGCAAGCUUGGCGAUACGGAUAUGCAGAUCUCCUACCAUUGUCACUGACUUUGUGUAACCCUAACCCUCUCCGGUGUCUAUAUAAACCGAAGGGUUUUAGUCCGUAGGACAAGAUACACAACAACAAUCAUACCAUAUGCUAGCUUCUAGGGUUUAGCCUCUCUAAUCUCGUGGUAGAUCUACUCUUGUACUACCCAUAUCAUCAAUAUUAAUCAAGCAGGACGUAGGGUUUUACCUCCAUCGAGAGGGCCCGAACCUGGGUAAAACUCCGUGUCCCUUGCCUCCUGUUACCAUCCGGCCUAGACGCACAGUUCGAGACCCCCUACCCGAGAUCCGCCGGUUUUGACACCGACAUUGGUGCUUUCAUUGAGAGUUCCUCUGUGUCGUCGCUGACAGGCUCGAUGGCUCCUACGAUCAUCAAUAGCGAUGCAGUCCAGGGUGAGACCUUCCUUCCCGGACAGAUCUUCGUCUUCGGCGGCUUCGCACUGCGGGCCAAUUCGCUUGGCCAUCUGGAGCAUAUCGAAAGCUACGCCCCUGGCCGCCAGGUCAGAUUUGGAAGUUUAAACUACAAGGCUGACAUCCGCGGGGACUUGAUCUUCGACGGAUUCGAGCCACUGCCGAGCGCGACACACUGUCACGACGAGCAUGAUCUAGCUCUGCCGCCGAACAGUGCCCUGGAGGCCGCACCCGCAUCGGCUUCAACCCUUAAUUCGGAGCCUACUGCGCCGAUCGAGGAUGGGUGGUUGGACGCCGCCUCGGGGGCUGCGAUCCCAACGGCGAUCGAGCCAAACACCAGCCCCAUACUCCGCGAGACUCGUGACUCCAGGGAGCCGGACUCCUCUCUGGACUCCGAACCCUCCGCGCCCCUGCCGAUCGAAUCCGAUUGGGCGCCGAUCAUGGAGUUUACUGUCGCGGAUAUCUUUCAGCACUCGCCUUUCGGCGAUAUUCUGAAGGCACUAAAGUCUCUCUCUCUAUCAGGAGAGCCUUGGCCGAGCUACCGUCAGCAAGGUUGGGAUGCGGACAAUGGAGAAAUUCAAAGCCCACCCACCACCUACCUUAUAGCCACUGUCGAUGAUUUAACCGAUAUGCUCGACUUCGAUUCCGAAGAUACCGACGGUAUGGACGCCGACACAGGAGACGAUGAAGAACUAGCGCCUAUUGAGCCCUGGAAAGCCACCUCGUCAUAUGACGUAUACAUGGUAGACGCACCAAAAGAUGACGACGAGGAGCAGAAGAACGCACCAAAGGCUUGUUCCCUCGAGAAGCAGUCAAAGCGGCGACGCAAGCGCCGCCCCAAAUCCCGCCUCGACAGAAAUAACGAUCACACAGACCCAGCGCUGGAGCAUGGCGAACCGCUGCCGGACAAUGGCAAUCCGGAUAAUCAAACCGAACAAACAAAUUCUAUCAAGGAUAAUAGUCCGGACGAUAUAACGCCGGACAGGCACCCGGAGCAGCAGAAUGCCCGUAAGAGGCUUGUUGCCACCGCGAGGAGUCUCAAAAAGCAUAAGCAAAGGCUCAGGGCUGCGCAAGACACACUCCAAAUCAGAUGGAGUAAAAUACUCAACACAGCAACGAGGUACGGCGACAAUCGCCCCUCCAAGAGCUACCCAAAGCAGAAGCUGCUACCCGAAUUUGAUGAGGAGGCCUCAUACCCUCCACAACCAAACAUCAAAGCAGCCACCUGGCCAGAUAGACGACCCCUCUACCAACACACGGUGGCAUACAACGCCACUCACAAUACAACACGCGACCCAGGCGAGGGCUCGCACCCAAAGGACGGCGCAACAAGAUCCAUCUAUGGACCACGCAAGCGCGCCCCAGCAUACAAUGCAAUACAACAAAGAUCCGAACAACGCGGCACACCCAGCUACAGAGGUGCCGCACACCCCCUGUGUUUCACCGAUGAGGUGCUGGACCAUGAAUUCCCAAAAGGAUUCAAACCCGUAAACAUAGAGGCAUACGACGGAACAACAGACCCUGGGGUCUGGAUUGAGGACUACAUCCUCCAUAUCCAUAUGGCUCGAGGAGAUGAUCUCCACGCCAUCAAGUACUUACCCCUCAAGCUUAAAGGGCCAGCUCGUCACUGGCUUAAAGGCCUCCCCGAAAGCACCAUUGGAAGUUGGGAAGAGCUCGAAGACGCCUUUCGGGCAAAUUUUCAAGGGACUUAUGUCCGACCUCCGGAUGCGGACGAUUUGAGUCAUAUAACUCAACAGCCCGGAGAGUCAGCCCGAAAGCUUUGGUACAGGUUUCUUACUAAAAAAACCAGAUUGUCGACUGUCUGGAUGCUGAAGCCUUGGCAGCUUUUAAGCAUAGCGUCCAUGACGAAUGGCUCGCCAGACACCUCGGCCAAAAUAAGCCGAGAACGAUGGCCGCAUUAACAAACCUCAUGACCCGCUUUUGCGCGGGUGAGGACAGCUGGCUAGCCAGAUGCAGCACCAGCGACCCCAGUACAUCUGAAGUUAGAGAUGGAAACGGGAAAUCACGGCGCAACAGCAAUAACAAACGCCGGAAUAAAGAAGACAUCACGAAGGGCACGGCAGUAAACGCCGGAUUCAAAAGCUCUCGGCCAGGUCAGCAAAAGCCGCCCUCUAAAGGCACCAGGGAUGAACUGUCCAGCCUCAACAAAAUUUUGGACCAAGUAUGUCAGAUCCAUAGUACCCCUGGUAAACCUGCUAAUCAUACCCACAGAGAUUGUUGGGUCUUCAAGCAGUCCGGCAAGCUCAACGCCGUACACAAGGGGGAGGAUACACCAAGUGAAGACGAGGACGAGCCUCCCAAGCAAGACACUGGGGAACAAAAGAAAUUUCUGCCAGAAGUCAAAACAGUAAACGUGUUACACGUGAUCAAGGGACACAAUGCGGCACUCCCAGGGAAAUAUACCCAAGUGCCUGUCACCACUAAGUCCUGCCACUGGUCGUCUCAACCGAUCACUUUCGACCAUCGCGAUUACUCAGCAAGUAUCCGGCGUGCAGGAUGGGCUCCCCUGGUAUUAGACCCAGUAAUUGGCGGAUAUCACUUCACACGAGUAUUGAUGGACAGUGGCAGCAAUCUAAACCUAAUAUAUCAGGAUACAAUCCGCGGGAUGGGGUUAGACCCAACAAAAAUUCGCCAUAGCAAUACUACCUUUAAAGGAGUAACGCCACGCCCAGGGGCUCGCUGUACGGGCUCCCUACUACUACAAGUUAUAUUCGGCUCCCCCGAUAACUUCCGUCGUGAGCAUCUAACCUUCCAUAUCGCUCCGUUCCGAAGUGGCUAUCAAGCACUGCUCGGAUGCGAAGCUUUCGCUCGCUUUAAUGCAAUACCACACUAAGCCCCCCUCACACUCAAGAUGCCCGGUCCACGUGGCAUCAUUUCAGUGAACGGAAAUAUCAAGCGAUCUCUGCGCGCCGAAGAGAGUGCGGCUGCCUUGGCAGCCGCACACGAAAGGCGCCCGAACCACCGAAAGCAUCCAAUAGGUCGUCAAGACCUCAGACACAACUAACCAAGUCCGGCACCGCUAUUUAUACCGAAUAAACGGUCACACCCCUAUUUGUCAAUGCAAGGGACUCAACGCGCACAGACAAGUGGCAAUCUUUUCUUAUCUUGAAUUAUACAUGGUUUCUUUAAAAACUACCUUUUUGCACGACAACUUUUUCACCUAAAUUCCUCUCUUUUACAGAUGAUCAUCGUGCUACACCCGUCCAGGACAUGGCACAAUGGAGACACAGGCGCAGACGUGCAGCAGGGACCCGCUCCAAGGAUUCUUUUUAGAUUAAGACCCCGCGUAAACCUUUUUUACUGUCUCUUGUUGAUACAUAUCCAUCGUUGAGAAGGAUGCUGACGUCUUGGCAUGUGGCCACGCCAGAACAAUGCACGUACCUGGACACAAGGGGCUUCUUACAAAGGCCAUUAUUCAGGCCCGGUUUAUACCACAAAGACCGAAUACCUUAGGGAGUGUUCGGCGUCACGAGUUUGGCCCUAUAUGCAUCAGCUCCGAAUCAUUGUCUUUGGUCAAAUGUUGGGUUUGCCCAGCUCCUGUGUUUUGGUGCCUUACAUUCCGCUUUACCGGCUAAGGUAGCACCAGGAGAACUACUGUGAUUGUGCCCUGGUUCAUCCGGACGAGCACCUCAGUAGAGAAAGCCGAAAACUGACUGUCAUGAUAUAGCGUGAGACUGGUCAACCACUCAAUGACCUGUUGAAAUGUUAGAAUUCCUCCGCCUUAACGAAGGGCCGUUUUUCGGCCAGGCAUGUACGCACCCCGGGAUCGGAAGAGUGUGGAGCCACCAGGGGCUAUCUAGUAGCCCCACUGUGAAACUCCUAUGGCUAAGUGAAAGUGCUAAAGCAUUAUAGUCCGGUUGCCUCGCUCGCUCCGCUAUCACCUCCUUAAUAGGACCAAGACGUUGGGUUAAGUGUGAACGCGUGUUUUUGCGAGCACCUCCGCAUUAUAUGCGUGGGGGUUAAAGCCGACGGCUGCAAUCUUUCAGGUUAUACACAUGUAUACAUAAACGGGCGCCUAGGAGGCAUCAUAUUACUUUCAGGCAAAAGUAUAAAAAUAGCCUUAUAAAACUUUAUAAAAGCAUUUCGCUUACAAUGAGAUUGCAUAUCACUCAAACAUAAUAUUUUUUGAGCACCGGGUCUCUAUCAAACGAGCACCCUCAAAAACUUCUUCAAAGUAGUGCUCAGCAGCCAUUCGGCCUAUCGCCGAAUCCCGCGCUGCAACAGUGGUGGCAUCCAUCUCCGCCCAGCAUGCUUUAACACGGGCAAAGGCCAUCCAUGAGCCCUCUAUGCACGCCGACUUCUUCGUCGCAUUGAUGCGCGGCACCAUGUCAAGGAACUGCUGCACCAAGCUGAAAUAGCUGUUCGGUUUUGGCCUUUCCGGCCAUAGCUGAUCCACAACAGACCUCAUGGCGCGUCCGGACAACCUAUUCAGCUCGGCCCAUUCGGCUAAUUGGUCAGUCAAUGAAAGUGGACGCUCGGGAGAAUGGAAUUGUGUCCAAAACAGCUGGUCCACUUCAUGGUCCGUUUGACCCUGGAAGUACUUGACCGCAUCGGCAGCGCUCGCCGCCAAAUCCAUAUACACAUCCUCCGAACUCCACAGCCGAUCCAGAGGGGCAUACCGUGGAUCUCCGAACUUCCUCCGCAACAUAAAGGAUUUCCCAGCUACAAUAUCCCUGGCUUCCCGCAGCUCCUCCUUCUUUGCCCUCAUAGCAGAGCGGAGGUCUUUUCUCAUCACAGCAGCCUUCUCAAGGUCCGAUGCCUUCGCCUGGUUUUCCUUUUCAAGAACCCGGCAACGGUCGGCGGUGGCUUUUAAUUCUAUGGCCAUCUUGGCCAGCUUAUCUCGGCUCUCGCCAUGCGCGGCCUUCUCGGCUUGCAACUCUUCGGCCGCCUUCAAAGCAGCCGCAUUACCCAACCUCGCUUGUUCCUUGGCUCGGGCAAGUUCUGCCCGCAAGGCUUCAACAGUGGCAGCUCCAUCUGUAGUCACAACAUAUUAAAGAUACUGGCAUCAUGCUGCUCUUCCUAUGUGACGUUUACCAGAUAAUGACACUUACCAUGUGCCUCGUCAAGCCUUUUGUUAACAAGCUCGAUGUCGUCGUCUGCCGCAUCUAACUGCCGUUUCAAAUAGGCAAACUCGCUAGUCCGGCUAGCCACCGGAGCUUCCAUCACCUGCACAUAGAGGCAGUAUGAUUAUUACCUGGGAAUAUGAUCCUCUGUUCGUCGUCGUUUCCGACAACCACCAGUCUCAGGGGCUACUAUCUACACAGGCCACACCUAGCAUGUGCAGGACAAUUAUACAUUAUUUUACGUACCUCAAAGCCUCUCAGUAGACUCAUAAAAUCUUUAUGCAAUCCGCUUUCGGCGGACAAGAUUCUCUCCAUCAUCGUAUUCAUCAGCAUACUGUGUUCAUCUGAGAUGGCCGCUCGCCCCACCAACUCCCUCAGAACAUCCGAUCGCGCACCAGACGGUGCCGGACUCUUUUGUCUGUUCUCUUCGGGAGCCGGACACUGGGAGCUUCGGGGUUCAAUGGGAUUAUCUUCUGGCCUCAUCGAAUCCGGAGAAGCCCUCCGCGACGACACUUCGGGGUCACCCGCUUCUGAAGCGGAGGAGUCCGUAGGAGGCGUUUCGCUCUCCAUCAUCUCUGGAAGAAGAUCCCCCAAAGACGAACUCAUUUGAGAGGGGCUAAGGCCCGAACUGCAAAGAUAUAUGCGGUGGUUAUUUUCUCAGAAGAAAAAGAUGGCAUACCUGUACUAUUAAAGUAUUUCGGGUCACUUACGACUCGCUGGAGGAAUGAUCCCCCCGCGGACUUGGUGCGGCGAAAGCACCCCCCGAGGUAGGACCCUCUGUGGGAGACUUCUACUCCCGUUUGGAAGCUUCGGCUUCCGAAUCCCCGGGCACAGUCCUUUUCCUCCUCCGGUCAUCUUCCUUCAUGGAGACACUCGCUCCCUCGGUUAGAAUGGGCAGCGUUGGGGGCCCGCGUCCGCCCGUAUUACCCUCCCCGGUAUCUUCCUUCAAGGGCUCCGGGCAGGGUGCGACCUGGAGCAUCUUUUCCAGUACCGGAUUUUCCAAACCCUCAGGGAGGGGGGCCGGACACCGAAUCAACUUCGCCUUUGUUAGCCAGUCCUGGUCAAAAAGCGAACUCUUAGAGAUAACUUCGUAACAAAUAAGAGAUAGUAUGUUCGCCCGGAAGAUUCCUUACCUGUUCGGCGGCGCGGUUACUGCUCAGGCCCACGUCCUCGGUGAUUUCCGGACACUCUACCUGAGGUUCGAAGAAUGACUUGUACAUCUCCUCGUGCGUCAGGCCGAGGAAAUUUUGAAUGACACGUAGUCCUUCGGGAUUGAACUCCCACAAGCGAAGGGGCCGGCGUUUGCAAGGCUGGACUUGACGGACCAGCAUAACUUGUCUUACCGCAACCAAACUGAAAUCUCCAUUAAAGAGAUCUCGAAUGCGGCUUUGCAGUAUAGGCACGUCCUUGGCUAGACCCCAGCUCAGUCCUCUGCUAAUCCAUGACAUCAGUUGUGGUGGAGGGCCCGAGCGGAAAACGGGGGCGGCCGCCCACUUGGCACUUCUAGGGCCGUGAUGUAGAACCACUCCUGUUGCCACAAUUCAGACACCUCUGGAAUGGAACCUUUGGGCCAUGAAUCUCGCGUCAUCUUGCGUAUUGAGGUACCUCCACACGCCGCAUGUUGCCCCUCGAUCAUCUUCGGCUUUACUUCAAAGGUCUUGAGCCAUAGGCCAAAGUGAGGGGUAACCCGGAGGAAGGUCUCGCGCACGACAAUAAAUGUCGUGAUAUGAAGAAAGGAGUCCGGAGCUAGCUCAUGGAAAUCUAGCCCGUAAUAAAACAUCAAGCCCCUGACGAAAGGAUCCAGAGCAAGGCCUAGACCUCGGAGGAAGUGGGAGACGAACACGACGCUCUCGUUGGGUUCGGGGGAGGGGACGGCCUGCCCCCGGGGAGGCAGCUGAUGCAAAAUCUUGGCGGUCAGAUAUCUGGCCUCCCUCAACUUUUUGAUGUCUUCUUCCGUGAUGGAGGAAGGCACCCAUCGGCCUUGAAGGCUAGAUCUGGACAUGACUGAAGGUUCGGAGCACCUGACUGAACUUUAGGCGUUUGAGCUUGAGGUGGGGAAGGAUUCGAUUGAGCACGGGAGGGAAGAAUAAAAGCCUUGUCCCUUUAUAAAGAGGGUGAAUAUCAAGCGUCCUCUCCGUGUCCGUUUGGACUUGCCUAUAAUCUAGGAGUCCUAGAAGUGGUUGGGUUACCCACGCCCGUAGUGAUGAGAAUCCCGGAAUAAGGGGACACGAUCUCUGCUUUAACGAGACGUGCCAAGGAAACCGUCUCGCAUGACACGCUGAGGUGGGAUAAUAAAACGAUCCGGAUAAAGGCUUGGUUGUGGUGUGUCGCAGUACGUAAUACGUCAGCAGAUUAGAUUUGUGUAAAUAUUAUUGUCUCUAUGGCAAUAUGUGGAAACUUAUUUUGCAGAGCCGGACACUAUCUUUGUGUUCAAAAUCUUCUAUGAAGUACUUGGAGGAGGAACCCGCCUUGCAAUACCGAAGACAAUCUGCGCGCCGGACUCGUCGUCAUUGAAGCCUGGUUCAGGGGCUACUGAGGGAGUCCUGGAUUAGGGGGUGUCCGGAUGGCCGGACUAUACCUUCAGCCGGACUCCUGGACUAUAAAGAUACAAGAUUGAAGAUUUCGUCCCGUGUCCGGAAGGGACUUUCCUUGGCGUGGAAGGCAAGCUUGGCGAUACGGAUAUGCAGAUCUCCUACCAUUGUAACCGACUUUGUGUAACCCUAACCCUCUCCGGUGUCUAUAUAAACCGAAGGGUUUUAGUCCAUAGGACAAGAUACACAACAACAAUCAUACCAUAGGCUAGCUUCUAGGAUUUAGCCUCUCUGAUCUCGUGGUAGAUCUACUCUUGUACUACCCAUAUCAUCAAUAUUAAUCAAGCAGGACGUAGGGUUUUACCUCCAUCGAGAGGGCCCAAACCUGGGUAAAACUUCAUGUCCCUUGCCUCCUGUUACCAUCUAGCCUAGAACAGUUCGGGACCCCCUACCUGAGAUCCGCCGGUUUUGACACCGACACAAGGUUGUUCCAUAUUGAGCUACCUUGCGAAAAAUAUGCAUAAUAAUUGUCUGUGUUUCUGAUGAGUUGGAGCAGAUGCAAGGUUGUACAUGUACCGAAUAAAUCAUGAUGCAGGACCGCUUGUGAUUAUUUUUAGGACACAUAGUGUUGGCGUGGGGACCUUUUCAUAUGUUCUAUAGUAAGAAUUUUUCAUCUUAUGCUUUGUACUAAGUUGGUUUUAUAACUUGUGUGCUUAUUUCACUAAUGCAUGCAGGAGUGUCAAACAGUGAUGAUGUGUUCUGUAUACGAUUUUGUUUGCUCUAAUUCUUUAUAUUCUCACGAGUAGAUCAAGUGUAAGUAUGUGCAAUGUAGUUCCUUUUUCUACAUAUGGUGAUUGAUUUCUUCUUCGGCAACCCAACAAACAGAUGGUAAUCAAUCUUCAAAUACCAAAAUCAGGCACUUGAUAUGUAUAAAAAUAUUAAAUGUAAUAUUAACAUAAUUGAUAUUGAACUCUUAAAAUUAAUGUAGCCCCGUUGCAAUGCACGGGCGUUCUUCUAGUAUGGUUAGAAGGACAGUGAUAUUCCCUAUUCAUCAAAGUUCACAUUAGAGUUCAAGUCCAUAUUGGUGUUCAUAUUUUUUGGGUUUAUUUAACCUGAGGUUGGAUGACAGUGGUACCGCAUAUCCAUCAGAAUUCAAGUCCAUAUUUCAAGUCUAUAUUGGUGUUUGUACUUUUAUGAAUUUAUUUAAUUCGAGGUUGGAUGAUUUGAAGGAUAAGAAGGAUAAUGAUAUCUGUCCAUUAGAGUUCAAGUCCACAUUAAUGGUCACACUUUUGUGGAUUUAUUUCAUGCCAGAGUUCAAGUCCACAUUGAUGGUCACACUUUUGUGGAUUUAUUUCAUGGCUUUCAGUGAUGUUCAAUGGGAGGAGUGUUGACUACAAAGUUCAAAUCCAUAUGGGUGUUUUGUAUUUUUCUGAACUUAUUUAAUUUAAGAUUAAAUGAUUAGGAGGACAGUGGUAUCUCUGAUUUAAAUCCAUGUUCAUGGUCGCAUUUUUUUAAAUUUAUUUCAUGUCUUCCAAUAAUGUUCAACGAGAGAAGAUGCUACUGUUGACUACAAAAGCGUUUAUGACUAGUCAUAGAGAUAGAAUAUGUGUGCUUACACUGUGUAUGUAAACGACUAGUCAUAAAGAUAGAAUAUGCGUGCUUAUACAAUAUAAGUUACACACACGCUCGUGUAUGUAAACGACUUCGAUUAUACUGUGUAAAGAAAUACAAUGCUGUGUAAAAAAAGCAACAGUACAACGUUUUUCCUUUUCGUGGGAAAAUCGACAGACAAUAGCACAAUUCCGGUAGUACUGCAUACUCGUAAGUUCAUUCUUAUUGGCACUAAAAAUGCUCAUUCUUACUUACCGAAAACAAAGAUAUUCCAAUCACUUCAGUUCUCCAAAGUGAAAAAACAGGGGUUCCACCCGGCGAUUUACUCAACCGGGGAACAUUAAGCGAACACCUCCAUUUUACCAAUCACACUGCUUUUUCUCGAUUCGUUGUGCUCAC